UACGUAGGGGGCUAGCGUUGUCCGGAAUCAUUGGGCGUAAAGCGCGUGUAGGCGGUCCGGUAAGUCCGCUGUGAAAACUCGAGGCUCAACCUCGAGACGCCGAUGGAAACCAUCAGACUAGAGUCCGGAAGAGGAGAGUGGAAUUCCUGGUGUAGCGGUGAAAUGCGCAGAUAUCAGGAAGAACACCCGUGGCUAAGGCGGCUCUCUAGUACGGUACUGACGCUGAGACGCGAAAGCGUGGGGAGCGAACAGG
rnacentral:rRNA from 1 species